GGGUUAGCGACAUUGAGAGCUGUUCAGACUAUGAGAAAGUGUGUGGAAGAGGAUUUGGUGACUUGAACUGGUGCUUCAAGGAAAGCCUAAAGUCCAAGUUCCACUCUUGCUCUCACAGUCUGCACAGCUCUCUGUAUCUCUUCCCC
rfam:Physcomitrella patens subsp. patens PHYPAscaffold_100 genomic scaffold, whole genome shotgun sequence.